UGCAAAUCGAUUUUUUAAUUAAAUUAAAAAUAUUGAAUGGUUUCCAUUUUGGACACGUGGCAGUUAACUGGAUAAAUGGUGCUCUUAUGGUCUGGUAGAGAGAAGGCUCUUGUCCUGGGCAGCUCAGGUAAGCUUCAGCCUAGCUUUUCUGUCAUGGAGGACGCCUCUUGCCCAGGAAGGUCAGUUACCGUGGCUGAAGGCACAGUUAUCCUCAGAGUGGAAAGACUUGCUUCCCUGAUGUCCUGCUGCGUUAAUAGGUAUGGCUAAAGAGGGGAGUAGGCUUGCCUUUUCUCCUGAGUAUCCGCACCAGGAGAAUUCAUGGCGUUGUGAUUUCCCUAAUCCUAUGGAGAAUGUGUCUCCAGACUUGAACAUACGACAGAAGGGUACAACCAAUUUGAAAAUACCACUUAUUAAAAAAAGAGCAUUUUCAUCAAAUAGCCACAGUCACAUUCCAACUGAAUCAAGAGGCAUAAAGUCUAUGUUAAAGGUCAGGUGUUGCCAGAAACUGACCCACCUGUGGGUCGUGAGGGCAGCUGAAGCUGUGGACUGGGCUGUGGGCCACGGGCUGCUCGUGGCUGUAGCUACAAGUAGCAGUGACAAGACUCCUAUCCCGGUCUUCCCAGAAGAGUGCUGUAGACCUGAGGGUGGCUGGCUGGCCAGGUGAGCAAGAGGAACAGAUUUACGCGUCUAGGAUUUAAGGAAGAGGCUAGGGCUAGAGAGACUCGUUUGGGAAUCAUCGGCAUAAGCAGUAUUUGAAGGCGUGGGAGUCAAUAAGGUUGCCUGUGAAGAUACUACAGAGACAAGGAUUCAGAACCAGGUUUGAGGUUCUCCCAAUAUUUGGAGGCUGAGCAGGAGUGUUGGGGUGUCACAGUGACCAUGGGAACACCGUUACAAGAAAUCAAUGGUCAACUCUUUAGAUUGCUGAAAGCCUGAGUUCAAUUAUAAGAGAACUAAUCAUUGCAUUUGGUGAGAAGAUGAUUUUGACAAGGAGCUAUUUCAUUGGAGUGCUAGUUGAUCAGUUUUAUUGUGUUUUUUUUUUUUUUAAGAAACAGCUUUGGGUUUCAUGGAUAUUUUCUACAUAAUUAAAUUUUGAAUGUAUUUAAGACAUGUAGAGUUUAAAGAUUAAUUGUAAAGCCAGAAGCCAUCCAAUGUUCUACCUGCUAGUGUGAAAUGUACAUGUCCAGUAAUCUGUAGCUCCCUUUUGACUCUUCCUGAUUCUAUUUCCUGCUCCCUCUAUGCAGGUAAGUCACCUGGCUUUUGUGGUGUCACCCCCUUGCUU